rnacentral:rRNA from 1 species
ACACCUGUUCCCAUCCCGAACACAGAAGUUAAGCUCUUCAGCGCCGAUGGUAGUUGGGACUUUGUCCCUGCAAGAGUAGGACGCCGCCAGGC